GUGCUUGCUUUGGCAGCACAUAUACUAAAAUCGGAAUGAUACAGAGAAAAUUAGCAUGGCCCCUGUGCAAGGAUGCAAAUUUCUCUCCUUUAUAAGGAAACCAGUGAU